rnacentral:ncRNA from 1 species
GAGGUAGAGGCGCAAAACUAAAGAGUAACUCUUUUUUAAAAAACCUAACAAGAAAAGAGUGAAAGGAAGUUUUGCCGAAGUCUUUAAUUUUUAUGGUUUUAAAGAUUAAGGAUUGGGUCUGUGUAUAACAUAUGCAGGACUGUCAUUGAAGUAUAACCCGUAUUUCAAUGUUGAGCUAUC